GACGAACGCUGGCGGCGUGCUUAACACAUGCAAGUCGAGCGGAAAGGCCACUUCGGUGGUACUCGAGCGGCGAACGGGUGAGUAACACGUGAGUAAUCUGCCCCUGGCUUUGGGAUAGCCACCGGAAACGGUGAUUAAUACCGGAUACGACAACUUCUCGCAUGGGAUGGUUGUGGAAAGUUUUUCGGCCAGGGAUGUGCUCGCGGCCUAUCAGCUUGAUGGUGAGGUAAUGGCUCACCAUGGCUUCGACGGGUAGCCGGCCUGAGAGGGUGACCGGUCGCACUGGGACUGAGACACGGCCCAGACUCCUACGGGAGGCAGCAGUGGGGAAUAUUGGACAAUGGGCGGAAGCCUGAUCCAGCAACGCCGCGUGAGGGAUGACGGCCUUCGGGUUGUAAACCUCUUUCGCCUGUGACGAAGCGCAAGUGACGGUAACAGGUAAAGAAGCACCGGCCAACUACGUGCCAGCCGCCGCCGUAAAAC
rnacentral:rRNA from 1 species